AUUGAACGCUGGCGGCAUGCCUUACACAUGCAAGUCGAACGGUAACAGGUUAAGCUGACGAGUGGCGAACGGGUGAGUAAUAUAUCGGAACGUGCCCAGUCGUGGGGGAUAACUGCUCGAAAGAGCAGCUAAUACCGCAUACGACCUGAGGGUGAAAGCGGGGGAUCGCAAGACCUCGCGCGAUUGGAGCGGCCGAUAUCAGAUUAGGUAGUUGGUGGGGUAAAGGCCUACCAAGCCUACGAUCUGUAGCUGGUCUGAGAGGACGACCAGCCACACUGGGACUGAGACACGGCCCAGACUCCUACGGGAGGCAGCAGUGGGGAAUUUUGGACAAUGGACGCAAGUCUGAUCCAGCCAUGCCGCGUGCGGGAAGAAGGCCUUCGGGUUGUAAACCGCUUUUGUCAGGGAAGAAAAGGUUCUGGUUAAUACCUGGGACUCAUGACGGUACCUGAAGAAUAAGCACCGGCUAACUACGUGCCAGCCGCCGCAGUAA
rnacentral:rRNA from 1 species